rnacentral:lncRNA from 1 species
UAAAAGUUGAAACUAAAAAUACAUGAAAAAGUAAACAAAAUUUUACAAACCUGUGUCUAACUGUUUUUCUCCAUUUAUUUGACUGGAAUCCAAAUCCUGUGCUCUUAUCCACUAAGCUACACAGAAACCUUUCUUUUUCUCUGACAUAGUUAGCUUGCUUCUCAUUCAAGUUAUUUUUGUUGUCUAUAUUAGUUAUUAUCUUUCUUUCUAAAAAUUUUUAAUUAUAAAAUUUAUAUAAUAUGAAAUUUACCAUCUUAACUAUUUUAAGUGACAGUUCAGUAGUGUUAAAUACAAAUUGCUGUGUAACCAAUCCCCAAAACUCUUUUCAUUUUGCAAACUUGAAACUCUGUACUCAAUAAACAAUUCUCUCCUCCUUCAUUUUCUCAGCCUCUAGAAACCAUCAUGCUAC